AUUGAACGCUGGCGGCAUGCUUUGCAUAUGCAAGUCGAACGGUAACAGGCCGCAAGGUGCUGACGAGUGGCGAACGGGUGAGUAAUGCAUCGGAACGUGCCCAGUCGUGGGGGAUAACGCAGCGAAAGCUGUGCUAAUACCGCAUACGAUCUAUGGAUGAAAGCGGGGGACCGUAAGGCCUCGCGCGAUUGGAGCGGCCGAUGUCAGAUUAGGUAGUUGGUGGGGUAAAGGCUCACCAAGCCAACGAUCUGUAGCUGGUCUGAGAGGACGACCAGCCACACUGGGACUGAGACACGGCCCAGACUCCUACGGGAGGCAGCAGUGGGGAAUUUUGGACAAUGGGCGCAAGCCUGAUCCAGCAAUGCCGCGUGCAGGAAGAAGGCCUUCGGGUUGUAAACUGCUUUUGUACGGAACGAAGAGGUUUGGGUUAAUACCCUGGGCCGAUGACGGUACCGUAAGAAUAAGCACCGGCUAACUACGUGCCAGCCGCCGCAGUAA
rnacentral:rRNA from 1 species